UGACAGCCCAGGAGACUAAAGUAACCUAUUUUAUUCACAUAAUAUGUACUGCAUAGGUGGCAGCAAUGCAAACUUCCAUAUAUAGCAAUACAAAUGUGCCUCAAUCCUGACCUAAAAGGACCUUUCCACGGGUAUGUCUUCACUGCAGAGUUAACUUGGGGGACU
rnacentral:sRNA from 1 species